rnacentral:rRNA from 1 species
ACUCAAAGGAAUUGACGGGGGCCCGCACAAGCGGUGGAGUAUGUGGUUUAAUUCGACGCAACGCGAAGAACCUUACCAGGUCUUGACAUUGAUGGACAGAACUAGAGAUAGUUCCUCUUCUUCGGAAGCCAGAAAACAGGUGGUGCACGGUUGUCGUCAGCUCGUGUCGUGAGAUGUUGGGUUAAGUCCCGCAACGAGCGCAACCCCUAUCUUAUGUUGCCAGCACGUAAUGGUGGGAACUCAUGAGAGACUGCCGCAGACAAUGCGGAGGAAGGCGGGGAUGACGUCAAAUCAUCAUGCCCCUUAUGACCUGGGCUACACACGUACUACAAUGGGCUUUAAUAAAGGGAAGCGAAGUCGCGAGGCGGAGCAAACCCCAGAAACAAGCUCUCAGUUCGGAUCGUAGGCUGCAACUCGCCUACGUGAAGUCGGAAUCGCUAGUAAUCGCAGGUCAGCAUACUGCGGUGAAUACGUUCCCGGGCCUUGUACACACCGCCCGU